UUUAAUCGGACUCAACGCCGGGAAACUCACCAGAUAAGACAGCUGAAUGAUAGUCGGGCUGAAGACUCUACUUGACUAGCUGAGAGGAGGUGCAUGGCCGUCGUCAGUUCGUACUGUGAAGCAUCCUGUUAAGUCAGGCAACGAGCGAGACCCACGCCAACAGUUGCCAGCUCGUCCUCCGGGAUGGUGGGGACACUGUUGGGACCGCCUCUGCUAAAGAGGAGGAAGGAAUGGGCAACGGUAGGUCAGCAUGCCCCGAAUUAUCUGGGCUACACGCGGGCUACAAUGGGUGGGACAAUGGGUAUCGACACCGAAAGGUGAAGGCAAUCUCCUAAACCCAUCCGUAGUUCGGAUUGUGGGCUGCAGCUCGCCCACAUGAAGCUGGAAUCUGUAGUAAUCGUGUCUCAAAAUGGCACGGUGAAUAUGUCCCUGCUCCUU
rnacentral:rRNA from 1 species